CUUGAGCGAACCGAGCCACAACGGACGCUCCGGAUCACGGUCCUGACCGUAGGUCGCCAGCAGUGCCUGCGCCUC
rnacentral:antisense_RNA from 1 species